AUUGAACGCUGGCGGCAGGCCUAACACAUGCAAGUCGAGCGGAUGACGGGAGCUUGCUCCCUGAUUUAGCGGCGGACGGGUGAGUAAUGCCUAGGAAUCUGCCUGGUAGUGGGGGAUAACGUUCCGAAAGGAACGCUAAUACCGCAUACGUCCUACGGGAGAAAGCAGGGGACCUUCGGGCCUUGCGCUAUCAGAUGAGCCUAGGUCGGAUUAGCUAGUUGGUGAGGUAAUGGCUCACCAAGGCGACGAUCCGUAACUGGUCUGAGAGGAUGAUCAGUCACACUGGAACUGAGACACGGUCCAGACUCCUACGGGAGGCAGCAGUGGGGAAUAUUGGACAAUGGGCGAAAGCCUGAUCCAGCCAUGCCGCGUGUGUGAAGAAGGUCUUCGGAUUGUAAAGCACUUUAAGUUGGGAGGAAGGGCAGUAAGUUAAUACCUUGCUGUUUUGACGUUACCGACAGAAUAAGCACCGGCUAACUUCGUGCCAGCAGCCGCGGUAACAC
rnacentral:rRNA from 1 species